AUAAGGUUAAGUUAGGUUAGACUACAUGUUUUCAAAACAUGAAGCGGUUGUUAGACCAUCUUAUG
rnacentral:tRNA from 1 species